rnacentral:rRNA from 1 species
UACAGAGGGGGCGAGCGUUAUUCGGAAUUAUUGGGCGUAAAGGGCGCGUAGGCGGCUGGGCAAGUCCAAGGUGAAAUCCCUCGGCUCAACCGAGGAACUGCCUUGGAAACUGCCCGGCUUGAGGCCGGGAGAGGGUAGUGGAAUUCCCAGUGUAGCGGUGAAAUGCGUAGAUACUGGGAGGAACACCGGUGGCGAAGGCGGCUACCUGGACCGGUUCUGACGCUGAGGCGCGAAAGCGUGGGGAGCAAACAGG